GGAGUUAGGAAAUGUAUAUGGAUUAAUACUCCAUGUAUUUGACAAAGGCUCCUAAAGAAGCCACGGCAAAAUGCGUGCCAGCAGCCGCGGUAAUACGCAUGUGGCGAGCGUUAUUCGGAUUCACUGGGCUUAAAGGGCACGUAGGCUGUGCAAUAAGCAGGUGGUGAAAUCCCUCGGCUCAACCGAGGAACUGCUACCUGUACUGUUGCACUUGAGGGUGGUAGGGG
rnacentral:rRNA from 1 species